CGAGGCAUCCGCUGAGAACGACGAUUUUCUGGAGUGCUGGGCUCGAAUGGCAGCCAGUUCGCUCCACCAUCCAGUGGGAACGGUCGCCAUGGGUGAAGCGUCGGACCCGUCCGCGGUGGUCGAUGGACAUUUCAGGGUGAGAGGCGUGGAGCGAUUACGUGUCGUCGAUGCAUCGGUCAUACCAUUUGCACUGUCAAGUACACCGCACUCUGUUGUGAUGCUGCUUGCAGAGCGAGCUGCCGAAAUAAUCAGCAGGUCUUAACACAGCUGCUGAAGAAAGAUUGUAAUCCCAGCUGACCACAAGACAAGUGAAGCAGCCGCCUUCAUUCGGGCCGGUGCACUUUAAGAAAAAACUUUCUCACUGCCCAGGGUUUCUCCGACCCACUGCGCAACCAUCACGCAUUAAUUCUGUGAGUGGCAAUUGUGCCGCGGACACGCUAAGGAUUGCCUUCCGAAACUAUGAACUCCUCGGCAUAUUUGCGUCUUUUCAUUCUCGAUUUUCCGAUGAACGUGGUACAGUUUCCAUCUUCAGCGUUGUCGCAAAAGAGCACCGACAAAACGCCGCAAAUUCUGUAGGAAUUCGGGGUAUUACGUACUCAGCGCUCAUGCUGCUCUCAAUGUGGUUGCUGUGAAAAUGGGCUUUACACCAUCUAAAGGUAUAGAAGAACGAUGUGUGAGUCUUGUUACUUUACACUGUGAUCACCAGGCGUGCACUCUCCCGUGAGUUUUUUUCAACAUAUUUUUCGCAUUUAUUUACUGUUUCACUUGAGCUGUAACGCGAAAACUGCUCAGGAAUGCAGUCUACUGUUCAGUUGAACACCGAUAAUGCAACAAAGCUAACCACGACUUGAUCUUGCAAAAAAAUAUUUGUUUACAAUAACACUACUUGUGCCUCCGAAUGCGCGUAUUGACAAUCUUGUGUUCCAAUGAAUACAUGAUUUGGCCCGAUAUAUACAAAAAAAAGAGAGGUGAAAUGUCUUAGAGAGACCCUUUUAAUGUUAUGUCAUGAAUAAUUAUUAAGCGUACACGCUGUGAAUAUUAACUUUCUGAAUAGCUCAAAUUCCGCUCAACAAAUUUUAAUUUAAAAAAAGCCACGACAAGCGAGAUACGGGGAUUCAAUAAAAUUGCACGAUACGGCCUCGCGAAGCUUUAAGAAACAGAAUGCGCUAUU